GAUGAACGCUGGCGGCAGGCCUAACACAUGCAAGUCGAGCGGAAACACGAUCAGAAUAUUCCUUUGGCGGUGGCGGGAGCCGGGCGCGUGAGACGUACAUAACCUACCUCUACGACUGGGUUGACUACGACAAACCGGAGCUAAUACUAAAUCACAUGUAUAACCGCAGAAGUCAACAGAAAAAGACGCUAUUUUUGUCAGUGAUAGAUGGAGCCGCGUCGGAUUAGCUAGUUGGUAAGGUAACGGCAUACCAAGGCAACGAUGCGUAGCCGACCUGAGAGGGGGAUCAGCCACACUGGAACUGAGACACGGUCCAGACUCCUACGGGAGGCAGCAGUGGGGAAUCUUACACAAUGGGCGGAAGCCUGACGUAGCCACGCCGCGUGGGUGAAGAAGGUCUUCGGAUCGUAAAUCUCUGUUGUUGGGAAAGAACAAUAGUGUGGGUAACGAGGGACGUUUUGACGGUACCUAAUGAAUAAGCACCGGCUAACUACGUG
rnacentral:rRNA from 1 species